CCCUGCCCUUUGUACACACCGCCCGUCGCUCCUACCGAUUGAAUGUUCCGGUGAACACUUCGGAGCCAUGGCUUUAUUUGGGGAUUCUCAAAUUUAGCCAUUUUUGGCAAAGUUGUGUAAGCCUUAACAUUUAGAGGAAGGAAAAGUCGU
rnacentral:rRNA from 1 species